UGAGUGUCAUGAAAUUCUCAACCUUUUCAGCUUUUUGUUGAAUAGGCUUGGAUUUUGGGAGUUGUUGCAGGCUGCUCAGAAGUCUGCUCUCCUUAAAUGUAUUAGCGGGGCCCUUGUUGUCUAGCAUUUGGUGUGAUAAUUAUCUACGCCAUUGUGAACAAUGUAAUAGGUCGGCUUCUAAUCGUCUCGUAAAGAGACAAUCUCUGACAUUUUGACCUCAAAUCAGGUAGGACUACCCGCUGAACUUAA
rnacentral:misc_RNA from 1 species